rnacentral:rRNA from 1 species
UACGGAAGGGGCAAGCGUUGUUCGGAAUCAUUGGGCGUAAAGGGCGCGUAGGCGGUCGCGUGUGUCUGCUGUGAAAGCGCACGGCUCAACCGUGUGAAGUCGGUAGAAACUGCGGGACUUGAGGCUGGGAGAGGUUGGUGGAAUUCCCUGUGUAGCGGUGAAAUGCGUAGAUAUAGGGGAGAACACUCGUGGCGAAGGCGGCCAGCUGGACCAGCCCUGACGCUGAGGCGCGACAGCGUGGGGAGCAAACAGG